rnacentral:tRNA from 1 species
GGAGAAAUAGCUCAGGGGUAGAGCGCAUGCUUAGCAUACACGAGGGCCUGGGUUCAAUCCCCAGUAUCUCCA